GAUGAACGCUAGCGGCAGGCCUAACACAUGCAAGUCGAAGGAGAGGUUACCUUCGGGUAACCAAAACCGGCGCACGGGUGCGUAACGCGUAUACAAUCUGCCUUUCACAUAGGGAUAGCCCGAAGAAAUUUGGAUUAAUACCUAAUGGUAUAUAAGAGCGGCAUCGUUUUUAUAUUAAAGCUACGGUGGUGAAAGAUGAGUAUGCGUUCUAUUAGCUAGUUGGAGAGGUAACGGCUCCCCAAGGCGACGAUAGAUAGGGGUUCUGAGAGGGAUGUCCCCCACACUGGUACUGAGAUACGGACCAGACUCCUACGGGAGGCAGCAGUGAGGAAUAUUGGACAAUGGUCGGAAGACUGAUCCAGCCAUGCCGCGUGCAGGAUGAAGGUCCUAUGGAUUGUAAACUGCUUUUGUAAGGGAAGAAUAAGGAGUACGUGUACUUUGAUGACGGUACCUUACGAAUAAGCAUCGGCUAACUCCGU
rnacentral:rRNA from 1 species